GGGCCGUUAGCUCAGUUGGUAGAGCAGCUCCCUUUUAAGGAGUUGGUCGCUGGUUCGAGCCCAGCACGGCCCACCA
rnacentral:tRNA from 1 species